UACGUAGGCAGCAAGCGUUGUUCGGAGUUACUGGGCGUAAAGGGUGUGUAGGCGGUUGGAUAAGUGUGGUGUGAAAUCUCCCCGGCUUAACUGGGAGGGUGCGCUACAAACUGUCUGACUAGAGUGUGGGAUGGGUAAGUGGAAUUCCUGGUGGUAGCGGUGAAAUGCGUAGAUAUCAGGAGGAACACCGGUGGUGUAGACGGCUUACUGGACCAUAACUGACGCUGAGACACGAAAGCGUGGGGUAGCAAACAGG
rnacentral:rRNA from 1 species